GGCCGAUUAGCUCAGUUGGUUAGAGCGUGGUGCUAAUAACGCCAAGGUCGUCGGUUCGACCCCGGCAUUGGCCA